ACAUUGGCGUUAGCGGUAUCUAUUCUGCAGGGUGAAAUCGUGCCUGCAUAGCCGUAUCAUAUUCUCUCUUCUCCGAUAUUUCAGCGCUGGCGUGUGCGGUGGGCUGCAGCCACGCACCUGGCGAGCAGGGAUGGCUCGAGAAUGAGAACGGCGAUGGACGCAGCACGCCCAGUCCUGCUUGCAGUUGACCCCUGACACUCCAGCAGUCACAAACUGUUCCCUUUCUGGCGUUUCUCUGAAGGUCUGCCUGCCCGAUAUUGGCUUUGUUUUUGGAGCUCCACGAGUGUGCUGCAGUGUCUCCACGCAACCCAUCCUUAUAAUAAUAAUAAGAAGAAGAGCGCGUUCGACGGUGAUCGCCCUUUGUUUUGUGGGAGAAACGAUAGCGAUUAAGUAUAAAUUUAUCAUCUUAGCUAUCGUUUGUGCCAACAGUGUAUUCGGGACUCCUCGCGCGGCCGCUAACCCACGACUAAACAAACGGCGGUAAAUAAUUCACAGCCUAUGUGGAGCCAGAGGACUCGUGGAAAUUUCUUCCCCAAGCCGAUGCCAGAGGACUCGUCCAAAGACGAGGGACAAGAAACAUUGAGAACGAGGCGUCACUAGGUUGAUCGAGGGCACUAUUUUCAUCCCAAAUCGUUGGAAAACUUCAUGGCUAGCAACC
rnacentral:sRNA from 2 species